rnacentral:tRNA from 1 species
ACCGAAAUAGCUCAGUUGGGAGAGCGUUAGACUAUAGAUCGAAUCCCUGGUUCGAUCCCGGGUUUCGGCA